UCAUUCUCCCCCAAUCCGCCGCCUCCUCUCGUUUCCUCUCCCCCGCUCGGAAGCAGCACACCGCUGCUCAACUGGAGGACCGCGGGCAGGCGCGGAAGACGUCCGCGCGGAGGCGACGCGUCGGCAGCGGCUGGCGGCGCGCGUCCUCGAUUUACUCCAGCGGCGGCGGGGGCUGGCAGUAAGCACCCUAGAGGUUAUCCCCCUCCUCUUCUCUCAGAGGAGAAGCGCCGCGACAGUUACCCCCUCGCGCUGGCGAGGUGCGCCGCAUCGAGAUGCCCGUCCUCCAAUCAGCCGCCUCCAUCCUCCUCCCUCAAUUCGCGCUGCCUCCUCUCCUACUCCCCAAGGCGCUGCAGAAGGGAUGGGUAGAGGCAGCACGACGCAGCCGACGUGACCCAGGAGGGAGCGCCGGGAGCCGUGCGAAAAGUAGGUGGGCAGGGGCCGCGUCAGCCGCCGCUUGGGGGCGAUGUUCUCCUCCACGCCAUGGCCGACCACCCCUUGCGCCGCGUCAUGUCCUCGCCGCCGUCCGCGCCUCCACGUCCUGUUUCUAACCUCUACCAACGCCAUGGAGCGCGUCUCCUCCAAGUACAGUUCCUCCCUUGAUUAAUUUUAUUUUAUUUCGGUUCUAGGGUUCCUUGGCGCGCCAUGUCCGCCUGUGUCAGCCCCGCCUCUUUCCAUGGAGGGUGGGAGGAGGCGCUGCAGGAGCAGGUCCCAGAGGAGGGCGGCGGCGCAUCAGUGAGUCCCUCGCGCUGGUGAGGUGCGCCGCCUCGAGAUGCGUCUCGCUGGCCGAAGGGAGCUUGAGGAGCAGCGAUGGGACAGAGGCGGCGGAGCAGCGAGGGGCGACACUAGCUCGGAGGUGGAGGAGCAGCAAGGUGCGGCGCCAGGUGUAGGAGGGGUUGGUGGCGUCGACCCAGAGGAGGAUCUGGCGGAAGGAGGGUGGUGGCUCUCGUCGAGCUGGAGGCGAGCUGGAUGGAAGUCUUCCGGGAGGAUCAGACUGGAUGGGGAAGGACGGUUCCGGUCGGCUGCCGUGGGAGCGGGGAAUUGAAGGGUGGCGCCAGUCGCUGCAGGAGAUUCGACGGCAGCGGGCGGACUGGAAGGGGCCGGCAGCGAGCGGGGGCAGACGGACUGGAAGGGGCCGACGGCGAGCAAUGUAAGGGAGCAGGAGAGCGGCACGACAUGGCGGGAGCAGGUGGUCGCCUCUCCAUGGUGCUCAGCUAUCCUGCGUGAGUUGGAGCGAUGCAGGCUGACUGUGCUGCGCAGGAGCGGCGUUAAGGUCAGAGCGGUCUACAUCUUCUUCUUUCCUCGCUCAUAGGUGAGGAUAUCGAUGGAGGCUGGAAAAAUUCCCCGAUGAGCUCCUUCCGCUGUGCUGACUCAUGUAGGACUUUUGGCCUGCAUGAUCUUCUUGCACAGUAAGAUCCUACUGAAGGGUGGGAAGGGGAGCGGUAGAUUCGGCCGUCGAUUUGUGCAAGUGUCCGAGCUGUAAGAUGCAGAUGAUGUACUUGAUGCUGGUGAAGAAAUCAUGUGCACAUGAUGAUCUUUCCUCGACAGAGUUGGUGUUUUGUAACGAUGACUAUCUCUGAUUUUGGAAGCUAAUGGACAUGUCUCCUUCGGUGACAUAAUGAAGCUAAAGCAAUCUGCCAGUGGUUGGGAUCCUACUGAGAUUAGUAUAAAGCAUGAAGAAUGACCUUGCCAGGAACCACUACUUUCAGUGAGACGGUUCAGCAACUACGACAUUCAGCCUGCAGGUUCACACAUGAUUGAUACCCAAGAACAUGGUUUUGUGACCUUGUUAUGGCGGAUGAUCUUUCAUGUACUAUUGUUUAUAGUAAUAUCUCUUGAAACUCAACUGAAGGGGAAGAUCUGAAGGUGAUGCUGUUAUUUUAUUUGGAUAUGUCAAUGUACACCGAUUCCUUCGAUUGAACAAUAAGCGUCAAAUUAAAGCAAGGAGCCCCCCAAGUGUAUGAAGCAUGCAAAAAGGACAAAUGUGACCGCAGAUUAUGUUAACAGUGCUCUCAGCCUCAGGAAUGUUGAGGUAGCAGGUAGCAGAAGAUCUGCUUGGGGAAACACAAGAUGGAGAAAAGCAACCAGACAUUGCCGCUGUUAUUGCAGUAAUUUUCUGCCCCUCUCUCUCUUUCUCAAUUUUAACAAUUGCAGAGCACAUUUAGUGUCGAAAAGUUAAUUCUCACCCAAUGGUGAAAGUCAUCAUGUUGUGGGAAAAUGAAUGUCACAUGUGCCUUGCAACAGUUUGUUUUCAUUUCUCAAUGAAAAGAGAACGUUUUUGUAUAAAAGUGAAGUCCCAGA